GGCCGGGUGGUCUAGUGGUCAGGAAGUUAGCCGCGUAAGCUAGAAACGCCGGUUCAAUUCCGGCCUCGGUCU